rnacentral:misc_RNA from 1 species
GAUGAAGAACGUAGCGAAAUGCGAUAAGUAAUGUGAAUUGCAGAAUUCAGUGAAUCAUCGAAUCUUUGAACGCACCUUGCACCCUUUGGUAUUCCGAAGGGUAUGCUCGUUUGAGUGUCAUUGUACUCUCACACUUCUAAUUCCUUUCGGGAUUGGGAGCGGUGGACUUGGGUGUUGCUGCUUUAGUUGUGGCUCACCUCAAAUAAGUUAGUGCAACUCUUGGUUGGACAUAGUACGGCGUGAUAAGUGUCUUCGCCGGCGCCUCUGUAAGGAGGGUAGCCGAUCGGGAGCUCUGUGCUUCAAACCGUCUUCGGACAAUCUUUGACAACUUGACCUCAAAUCGAGUAGGACUACCCGCUGAACUUAAGCAUAUCAAUAAGCGGAGGA